UAAGAUGAAACUAAAUUGUAAGUAUGCCACUGUUAAUGGUACAUAGUGAUAAAUCACCCUCUUAA
rnacentral:tRNA from 1 species